rnacentral:rRNA from 1 species
AUUGAACGCUGGCGGCAUGCUUUACACAUGCAAGUCGAACGGCAGCGCGGGCUUCGGCCUGGCGGCGAGUGGCGAACGGGUGAGUAAUGCAUCGGAACGUGCCCAGUAGUGGGGGAUAGCCCGGCGAAAGCCGGAUUAAUACCGCAUACGACCUGAGGGUGAAAGCGGGGGACCGAAAGGCCUCGCGCUAUUGGAGCGGCCGAUGUCGGAUUAGCUAGUUGGUGGGGUAAAGGCUUACCAAGGCGACGAUCCGUAGCUGGUCUGAGAGGACGACCAGCCACACGGGGCCGGAACCACGGCCCAGCCCCCGCGGGGGGGCGGCAGGGGGGAAUUUGGAACAGGGGGGGCAACCUUGACCCAGCCGUGCGGCGGGGGGAAAGAGGCCCUGCGGGUUGAAAACGGUUUUUGUGGGGGAAAAAAUCCUUUGGCCUAAUCCCCGGGGGGAAUGAGGGUACCGAAAAAAAAAGCCCCGGCUAACCCCGUC